rnacentral:rRNA from 1 species
AUGGCGGGGAAGCAGUUCCCCUCCCUCGCGCACGCGCGCCGCGCCUCCUCCCGCUGCCUGCUCGCCGUCGGCGCCCUCCUCGUCUUCUCCGCCGUCUACUUCCUCCUCCUCUCCCCCUCGCCGCCGCGCCCCGUCGCCGGCCCGCUCCCCAACCCUAGCAGCGCUACCACCUCCUUCGUCGCCUCCCUCGACCGCUUCCUCGACUCCCCGCACCGCCCCGCCGCCUCCUCCGCGGCGCCCGGGGACCUCGACGCCGCGAUCCGGAGGGAGGAGGAGGCCCGGCUGUACGGGGACCCACGGGGCGCGUGGCCGGCGCCGCUAAGGGUCUACGUGUACGAGAUGCCACGCAAGUUCACCUACGACCUGCUCAGGCUGUUCAGGGACUCGUACCGCGACACCACCAACCUCACCUCCAACGGGAGCCCCGUGCACAGGCUCAUCGAGCAGCAUUCUAUUGACUACUGGCUGUGGGCGGAUCUCAUUGCUCCUGAAUCACAAAGACUUCUGAAGAAUGUUAUCAGGGUUGAGCAGCAAGAAGAAGCAGACAUUUUCUACGUGCCAUUUUUCACAACAAUCAGUUACUUCUUGCUGGAGAAACAAGAAUGCAAGGCACUUUAUAGGGAAGCUUUGAAGUGGGUGACUGAUCAACCUGCUUGGCAACGUUCAGAAGGCAGAGAUCAUGUUAUUCCUGUUCAUCACCCAUGGUCUUUUAAGUCAGUCCGAAGGUUUGUGAAGAAAGCAAUAUGGCUUCUACCUGAUAUGGAUUCUACUGGGAACUGGUAUAAACCUGGGCAAGUUUAUCUGGAAAAGGAUGUUAUCCUUCCAUAUGUCCCAAAUGUUGACCUUUGUGAUUAUAAGUGUGUGUCAGAAACUCAAUCUAAAAGAAGUACGUUGCUGUUUUUCCGAGGAAGACUUAAAAGAAAUGCUGGUGGGAAGAUACGCAGUAAGCUUGUGACAGAAUUACAAAGUAUAGAAGACAUAAUUAUAGAAGAAGGGUCUGCUGGCGCCAAGGGGAAAGUAGCAGCUCAGACUGGCAUGCGCAAGUCUCUCUUUUGCUUGAAUCCUGCUGGGGACACUCCAUCUUCUGCUCGCCUGUUUGAUGCAAUUGUUAGUGGAUGUAUCCCAGUUAUAAUCAGCGAUGAGCUAGAGCUUCCUUUUGAAGGAAUACUUGACUACAGCAAGAUAGCAUUGUUUGUUUCAUCAACUGAUGCUGUGCAACCUGGCUGGCUGGUGAAGUACCUAAGAGGCAUUGAUGCCCAAAGAGUUAGGGAGAUGCAAUCCAAUCUUCUCAAGUACUCGAGGCAUUUUCUAUAUUCAAGUCCUGCUCAGCCCCUUGGACCAGAAGACCUUACAUGGAGAAUGAUUGCUGGCAAGCUGGUGAACAUCAAGUUGCAUAUUCAGCGGUCGCGGCGCGUGGUCAGAGAAUCAAGAAGCGUAUGCACAUGUGAGUGUAGAGUCGGGAACACUACGAGGAUGCUCUGA